rnacentral:lncRNA from 9 species
AUAUAUUAGGUAAGUGAAAGGGCUGAGUGUAGACCACUCUUUCAAAGGAAACUGUCUGUCAAGGGAAGACAAAAGACAGCAGAAUCUGUGACAGAAUGCAGGUUAGAAGGAAGGAAUUUAGUUUGUGCUUGUUUUGAUUGCUUUGCUUACUUUUGUUUUGUUUUAAAAUGAGAAGCACCAAAAAGUAUGUUUAUGCAGAAAGGAGAUUGGAGAGUGAGAGAUGGAAGUGAUUAGAGAGAAGCUACCACGUGAAAUGAUUAUGCCUGGAAAGAAUGGAGAUGGUGAUAUUCAAGCCCACAAAUGAAGACUGCAUAAGAGAACACAAGGUGUAAAAGGUCUUUAAGGGAAAAGAACAGCAUUGCCAAAUCAUGGUUUAAAAUAUUCACUCAGGCUGCAUUUAGGCGUUGACUAAAAUAACCAGCAUAAGUGAUGGAUCCAGUGGAGAGUUAAUGCCACUGGAGGCCAAGACCCUACAAAACUGGGGGAGAUAUUAUGAAAGCAAAGGGAACAGCAGGCUCUGGAGAAGAGGAACACCUCUGAGUGCCUGAGAUGAUGAGAAAUUACAGGAACCACGGAAUUGUUUGUGCAGUUAAAUCGUAAAAAUUCUUCCAGUGAUUUUUGCUUAUCAGUUAAUUAUGGUCUGGAUUUGUCACCUUUGGUCUUUUCGAGAGGGGAGCUCGCACAUUACUAUGUCCCACAGGUUUGUAUCUAAUUAUCGCAACCCCAGACUUAGCCCUGAUUCAUGCUCCAUUACUAACCACCAGUUACUAACAAUCUCCACAGCCAAUGUUAUACAGAAACAAUCACCCAGCAUUAUGUGGGGUCCUUGCAUAGAGUUUCUCUUUAAUCUUUCUGAAAGUCCCUCUGACCUGUAUAUUUGUUCAUUAGGUCCUUUUCAAAUCCUUCCUCUAAUGCUCUUGGGUACCAUUUUUGUCAUGACUUUGCCUCUGAAAUGAACCAAUAUUUUAUUUUAUUUUUAUGAACCCUAGAAGAUUCUCUAAAUUUUCAUCAAUGAAACACAAAAGGUUUAUGCACCAAAAUACUCUCCCAGCAGUAAAAACAAUACCUACCCCUCCUCAGCCUCAUGGACUAAAUGACAAAGGUGAACUGAUUUAUCAGUAAGUCAUUAGUUGUGGCUGAUUUAUUUCUGCAAUCAUUCUUAUCUGGGCAAUAAAAGCUUCUGAAUAACUUUCUUUUUUUUUUUUUUCUAAGGUGAUGUGUUCAAAGAUCAGCAACAAACCACGAAGGGAUGAAAGAGAAAGAGAAACACAGAAACACAAGUUCCUUAUUACACUAGGUAGAACAUUCAUGGAAAGAGAAUGGAGAUGGGAAAAUCAGUGAACUUUGGGAAAAGAAGAUGUAUGGAUUAUUUUAUCUGAGUCACUUUGAAAACAUAAGUGACAAGAGAGUUUAAAAGUGCAUUUCGUUUAGUAGGUUUUUACUCUCUUUCACACUACGCAAGCACGUAUAAACGAACAAAACUAAAAGAAGCUGGAUAUCAAGGAAACCGGUUUCUGAGCAUUAGAAGGGAAAAAACAAAUGGUUGUCCUUUCAUUUGGUGCACCUGGCUGAAACCAGAAGCUUGGGCCAUGGCAUUCACUAUAAGGGCAAUACAGCUCAAAAGCAAAACAUUGGGGAAAAAAAGGGGGAGAGAGAGAAAAAAAGAAAAGCAAAACUUGGAAGAACUGCCAAAAACUGAACUUGAACGAAUGAUACACAAAGUAUUGACAUACCUGAAGGUGACAUGGGCUGGUCUAAAGUAGGGAAGCUGAACCAGUUCUUUUUACCAAUAAAGGCAGAAUCU